rnacentral:rRNA from 1 species
AGUGAACGCUGGCGGCAGGCCUAACACAUGCAAGUCGAACGGCAGCACAGUAAGAGCUUGCUCUUACGGGUGGCGAGUGGCGGACGGGUGAGGAAUACAUCGGAAUCUACUUUUUCGUGGGGGAUAACGUAGGGAAACUUACGCUAAUAUCGCAUACGACCUACGGGUGAAAGCAGGGGAUCUUCGGACCUUGCGCGAUUGAAUGAGCCGAUGUCGGAUUUGCUAGUUGGCGGGGUAAAGGCCCACCAAGGCGACGAUCCGUAGCUGGACUGAGAGGAUGGUCGGCGACACUGGAACUGGGACACGGACCAGACUCCUGCGGGAGGCAGCAGUGGGGAAUAUUGGACAAUGGGCGCAAGCCUGAUCCAGCCAUACCGCGUGGGUGAAGGAGGCCUUCGGGUUGUAAAGCCCUUUUGUUGGGAAAGAAAAGCAGCAGGUUAAUACCCCGCUGUUCUGACGGUACCCAAAGAAUAAGCACCGGCUAACUUCGUG